GAUCAUGGCUCAGGACGAACGCUGGCGGCGCGCCUAACACAUGCAAGUCGAACGAGCGAGAGAGAGCUUGCUUUCUCGAGCGAGUGGCGAACGGGUGAGUAACGCGUGAGGAACCUGCCUCAAAGAGGGGGACAACAGUUGGAAACGACUGCUAAUACCGCAUAAGCCCACGGCUCGGCAUCAAGCAGAGGGGAAAGGAGCAAUCCGCUUUGAGAUGGCCUCGCGUCCGAUUAG
rnacentral:rRNA from 1 species